UUGUAACACUCGUACACUGCGGUUCCUCCGCGCCGUCCGACUGCUCGCUACGUUUUGCUAACC
rnacentral:sRNA from 1 species